rnacentral:lncRNA from 13 species
GUGGGGACCUCUUGGAUCCAAAGGGAGAAGGGGAAGGCAGCGGGAUGGGGCCACCUCCUGUCCCUGCAUCCAUGGAAACACCGGGAAUCCGGGGCCCCCCGGGAUCCCGGAGAUGGGAUAAGGGCACAUCCAGAGCCUCGGGAUCAGGAGGAUCCAUGGCCGGAACCUGGGAACGUCCCUGUGCCCAUCCCGGUUAUCCCAAACUUCCCGCUUCCCUCAGCAUCCAGAGGCAUCGGGGCCACGUUUGGGAUGGGAUGCGGAAAACCAGGAUAAGAAAACCACGGAUUCCCCUUCCCAACAUCAUCUCCCCUGGGAAGGGAAAACAUAAAGAAUUAACAGGGAAUUUUUAAGGAUGAAACCCUUAAUUACCAAAAAUUCCUUCGGAUCCCAAGGCAGCCCCAGUUUUCCUCUCAUUUUUCCCCCAUUCAUGCCUCAGUCUCCCCUGUUUUCCCCCUGUUUCCGCCCCCUUUCCCACCGGGAUAACGACCUUUCCUCCCACUCCCGGCGGUUCACAGGAGUCGGGAUGAGCCCUGGGAUGAGCUUCCCCCACGGCAGGAAUUUUAAGUCGCUCCGAUGGAUUGUAAAUAUUUGGGAUACGGCUGACGGGGAAGAUUUAAACGCUUUAAGAGGGGAAAAAUUGGCUCAAGAUUCCCGAAUCCCUCGGGAUCUGCCCGGAGGCUCCUGCCCCGUCCCUGGACCUGCCAGAUUAGCCCCUCUGGAUCCCUCUGGAUCCUCGGGAAUGCGCUGUGUUCCCAAAUGCUGGAGGCAGCUGAGCUUUGUGCUGUUUUCCAUGGGAAAAUCCCGGCUCCGUUGUUUUCUCCGUUGGGAAUUUGGACAUGGAAAAUAGGGCGGGAUUAAAGGAUGGAUGCAAGGAUGGAGCCAUGGAUGGAUGGAUGGAAGGAAGGAGCUGGGAAUGUCCAGCUGGAGAAGGGAAGAAUCCAGGGAAUCCUUGGAGCCCCUUCCCGAGCCUAAUGGGGCUCCAGAAGAGCUGGAGAGGGAUUUGGGACAAGGGCUGGAAGGACCUUAAAUCCCAUCCCAUUCCCACCCCGACACUUCCCACUAUCCCAGGUUGCUGCAGGCCCCAUCCAGCCUGGCCUUGGUCCGGGAAUCCCUUUUCCCAAAGGAUGUGGAAUCCCUGGAUGAGCUCCAAGCCAAAUCACCUCGUCUCCCUCAUCCUGGGAAAGGUCAGGAGUGGGAUAGAGCCUUAUCCCAAAGAGAAUCCGGUGUUUCCCGAAUUUGCCGAGCGGAGUCGAUGGAGCAGCAGCGUGGGGGGAUCCCAGGGCAGCGGGAUCCUCCUUUCCCAACCCUCGUUCCCUCUCCAGACCCCAAGGGAAGAUUCCAAGGUGGUGCUGGGGAUCGGGAUCCUCCUCUCCCAGCCCUUCACUCCCCACAGAUCCCACGGGAAGGAGCCGAGGUGGUGCCAAAUUCCCACAGGAGCGGGAUCCUCCUUUCCCAGAUCCCAAGGAAAGGAACCGAGGUCCCAGGGAUCAGAAUCUGCCUUUCCCAGAUCCCAAGGGAAGGAGCCGAGGUCCCAGGGAUCAGGAUCCUCCUUUCCCAGAUCCCGAGGGAAGGAGCCGAGGUGGUGCCAAGGUCCCACAGGAGCGGGAUCCGCCUUUCCCAGAUCCCGAGGGAAGGAGCCCAAGUCCCAGAGGAUUGGGGUUCUCCUCUCCCAGUUCCCGAGGGAAGAACCCGAGGAAUUGAAUCCCGCGGGACAGAUCGGCUUUGGCAUGAGAACCAGGGAACCCUUCCCGGUGGGAAUUGGGCGCCCUUGGAUGAGGAAGAUGCAGAAAUUCCUCCCUGGAAUCAUCAGGAAUUGUCCCUCCCGAGCCUCCUCGCCGACGGAUAUUCCUGGAAUUCCACGGAUAGCGCUGUUUACAAUAAAUAUCCUCUGGAAUCUCACACACGGACAGCUCAAGGAUCAGAAAUCCGUGGAUUUUCCUCUCUGGAAAGGCGACAAAACAUCCCCAAAGUCCCUUCCCUGUUGUGUCCCCUCCAGGGGACUUUGGGUGCUGGGAGGGGAAAAUCCCAUCCUGGAAGGGUGGGAAUGGGAGAGGAGGGAAGUUUUGCUUCCCUGUGGGGGUGGGGGUGACAGAGGUGACCCCCGGGGUAUCCCGGGAAUUCUGGGACCAUCCCAGGGGUGA